AACGAACGCUGGCGGCAUGCCUAACACAUGCAAGUCGAACGAGACCUUCGGGUCUAGUGGCGCACGGGUGCGUAACGCGUGGGAACCUGCCCUUAGGUUCGGAAUAACUCCCCGAAAGGGGUGCUAAUACCGGAUAAUGUCUUCGGACCAAAGAUUUAUCGCCUUUGGAUGGGCCCGCGUUGGAUUAGCUAGUUGGUAGGGUAAAAGCCUACCAAGGCGACGAUCCAUAGCUGGUCUGAGAGGAUGAUCAGCCACACUGGGACUGAGACACGGCCCAGACCCCUCGGGGAGGAAGCGGGGGGGAAUAUGGCAAAGGGGGAGAGGGCCUGACCACGCUUUGCCGGGUGAGGAAUGAGGCCUUGGGGGUUGAAAACCUUUUUAACCGGGGAGAAUAAGAACGGAACGGGAAAAAUAAGCCCCGGCAAACCCCGUG
rnacentral:rRNA from 1 species